rnacentral:rRNA from 1 species
GAUGAACGCUGGCGGCGUGCCUAAUACAUGCAAGUCGAGCGAACACACGAGGAGCUUGCUCCUCUGACGUUAGCGGCGGACGGGUGAGUAACACGUGGAUAACCUACCUAUAUGACUGGGAUAACUUCCUGAAACCGGAGCUAAUACCGGAUAAUAUAUUGAACCGCAUGGUUCAAUAGUGAAAGACGGUUUUACUGUCACUUAUAGGUGGAUCCGCGCUGCAUUAGCUAGUUGGUAAGGUAACGGCUUACCAAGGCAACGAUGCCUAGCCGACCUGAGAGGGUGAUCGGCCACACUGGAACUGAGACACGGUCCAGACUCCUACGGGAGGCAGCAGUAGGGAAUCUUCCGCAAUGGACGCAAGUCUGACGGAGCAACGCCGCGUGAGUGAUGAAGGUCUUCGGAUCGUAAAACUCUGUUAUUAGGGAAGAACAAGUGUGAAAGUAACUAUGCACGUCUUGACGGUACCUAACCAGAAAGCCACGGCUAACUACGUG